rnacentral:misc_RNA from 1 species
UGUCUUGUGGGUGCGUCUGGUAUCCUGUAUUGACUACCAAUGCAACGGUAUUCGGUUUUCUUGAUACGUACAUUCGCCCGGUGCCUGUUAGGGUGUUGGGUGGACAACAGGUUGGCCACGUGCUCCAAGCAUGCCUUGCAAUGUUGUGUGGCUGCCAUGGCGCAUGGGGUUAUGCCCGUUCUUUUGGAUGCUGAUCGUUGUGUGUGUUGAUGAGGGGUCUUGACCUCUACUCGUCUGCUUUACGCACUUAUCCCUUGACACGAAUGACCGCCGCACUUGUUUUGGUUGAAGAGCUACACAGCUCUUUGAGGCUCCAUGCAGGUGUCGGCGUCGUGAAGGAAUGC